rnacentral:rRNA from 1 species
CACGUAGGGGGCGAGCGUUGUCCGGAUUUAUUGGGCGUAAAGAGCGCGUAGGCGGCUCGGAAAGUCGGAUGUGAAAACUCGAGGCUCAACCUCGAGCGUGCAUCCGAUACUGCCGGGCUUGAGGCAGGUAGGGGAGAUCGGAAUUCCUGGUGUAGCGGUGAAAUGCGCAGAUAUCAGGAGGAACACCGGUGGCGAAGGCGGAUCUCUGGGCCUGUCCUGACGCUGAGGCGCGAAAGCUAGGGGAGCGAACAGG